rnacentral:pre_miRNA from 1 species
UUUCAGUUUUCAGAUGUAAUGUUUUGACUUUUCGUUUUAUUUAAAAUUUUUUAGUAAUUAAUAUUUUUAUUGUUACCCGGUGAUAAAAUAUAAAUAUUAGUUUAUGCAUGACUAAUUUUUUUAAGUUUUUUAAAAAAAUUUUAAAUAAGACAAAUGGUCAAACGUUGGUCACGAAAAAAUAAAAAUGACGUUAUU